GUUGGAUCCCGGCAGCAGCUGCGGCGGCUCUGUUCUCUAGCUCUUUUCUGUCUCCCUUUUGUUUCUGGAAACAUGGCCUCUGGUGUGGCUGUGUCUGAUGGAGUCAUCAAGGUGUUCAAUGACAUGAAAGUUUGCAAGUCUUCAAUGCCAGAAGUGAAGAAACACAAGAAGACAGUGCUCUUUUGCCUGAGUGAGGACAAGAAGAACAUCAUCCUGGAGGAGGGCAAGGAGAUUCUGGUAGGAGAUGUGGGGCAGACUGUGGAUGACCCCUACACCACUUUUGUCAAGAUGCUGCCAGACAAGGACUGCCGCUAUGCUCUCUAUGACGCAACCUAUGAGACCAAGGAGAGCAAGAAGGAGGACCUGGUAUUCAUCUUCUGGACCCCUGAGAGUGCACCCCUUAAGAGCAAAAUGAUCUAUGCCAGCUCCAAGGAUGCCAUCAAGAAGAAACUGACAGGAAUCAAGCAUGAAUUACAAGCUAACUGCUACGAGGAGGUCAAGGACUGCUGCACCCUGGCAGAGAAACUAGGUGGCAGGGCUGUCAUUUCCCUGGAGGGCAAGCCUUUGUGAGCCACCUCCAGCCCCUUCCUGGAGCAUCUAGCAGCCCCAGACCUACUCUUGGGUGUUGCAGGCUGCCCUUUUCCUGCUAGAUUGGAGGGGCUGGGGGAAUUCCAGCAGGGGGAGGGUUAUCCCUUCUCCCCAGUUGCCAAACAUCCCUCCCACCCCCCUGGACCGUCCUUUUCCCUCCAUCCCUGAUGGUUCUGGCCUUCCCAAACUGCUUUUGAUCUUCUGAUUCCUCUUGGGUUGAAGCAGACCAAGUCCCAUCCUAGGCACCCAGUUUGGGGGGAGCCUGUAUUUUUU
rnacentral:lncRNA from 1 species